CACCACAGAAGGUAAUAGUCCUGUAUGUUAAACGAGAAGACUUUAGAUAUGAUCCAGAGUACCACGGGACACGUGAAACCCUGUGGGAAGCAGGAGGGACCACCCUCCAAGGCUAAAUACUACCUAGUGACCGAUAGCGUAUAGUACCGUGAGGGAAAGGUGAAAAGAACCCCGGGAGGGGAGUGAAAUAGAACCUGAAACCCUGCACUUACAAGCUGUGGAAGCACAUUUCUUGUGUGACCGCGUACUUUUUGUAGAACGGGCCAACGAGUUACGUUAAGUAGCAAGGUUAAGCACUUAAGGUGCGGAGCCGUAGCGAAAGCGAGUUUUAACUGAGCGUUCAGUUACUUGACGUAGACCCGAAACCGGGCGAUCUACCCAUGAGCAGGAUGAAGCGAAAGUAAAAUUUCGUGGAGGUCCGAACCCACGAGCGUUGAAAAGCUCGGGGAUGACUUGUGGGUAGCGGUGAAAUUCCAAUCGAGCCCGGAGAUAGCUGGUUCUCCCCGAAAUAGCUUUAGGGCUAGCCUCAAGGUGAGAGAUACGGAGGUAGAGCACUGAAUGUCCUAGGGGGUAUUGCACCUACCGAAGACUAUCAAACUCCGAAUGCCGUCAUCUUAUACUUGGGAGUCAGACUGUGGGUGAUAAGAUUCAUAGUCGAAAGGGCAACAGCCCAGAUCGUCAGCUAAGGUCCCUAAAUGUAAGUUAAGUGGUAAAGGAUGUGGGAUUGCACAGACAACCAGGAUGUUGGCUUAGAAGCAGCCACUCAUUCAAAGAGUGCGUAAUAGCUCACUGGUCGAGUGAUCCUGCGCCGAAGAUUUCCGGGGCUAAAACUUAC
rnacentral:rRNA from 1 species